UACGUAGGGGGCAAGCGUUAUCCGGAUUUACUGGGUGUAAAGGGAGCGUAGACGGCUGUGCAAGUCUGAAGUGAAAGGCAUGGGCUCAACCUGUGGACUGCUUUGGAAACUGUGCAGCUAGAGUGUCGGAGAGGUAAGUGGAAUUCCUAGUGUAGCGGUGAAAUGCGUAGAUAUUAGGAGGAACACCAGUGGCGAAGGCGGCUUACUGGACGAUGACUGACGUUGAAGCUCGAAAGCGUGGGGAGCAAACAGG
rnacentral:rRNA from 1 species